UGGGGAAUAUUGCGCAAUGGGCGAAAGCCUGACGCAGCGACGCCGCGUGAGGGAUGAAGGUCCUCGGAUCGUAAACCUCUGUCAGGGGGAAGAAGCGCCUGUGAGCAAAUAGUUCAUGGAUUUGACGGUACCCCCAAAGGAAGCACCGGCUAACUCCGUGCCAGCAGCCGCGGUAAUACGGAGGGUGCGAGCGUUAAUCGGAAUCACUGGGCGUAAAGCGCACGUAGGUGGCGUGGUAAGUCGGGGGUGAAAUCCCACAGCUCAACUGUGGAACUGCCUUCGAUACUGUCAUGCUUGAGUAUGGGAGAGGGUGGCGGAAUUCCAGGUGUAGGAGUGAAAUCCGUAGAUAUCUGGAAGAACACCGGUGGCGAAGGCGGCCACCUGGACGAAAACUGACGCUGAGGUGCGAAAGCGUGGGGUAGCAAACAGGAUUAGAUACC
rnacentral:rRNA from 1 species